rnacentral:lncRNA from 10 species
AAGUAAUCCCCUCAUGGGAAACCACGGCAGCGUUAUUUCCUCUUCAUCUUACAGCAUUCACUGGGAAUGACGGCAUUGUGGUUUUGAGCCUCUGGACUGUGGGUGCCUGCAGCCCAGGUCACAGAAAGGGGCCGCCGGACUUCUGCAGCUCUGUGUCCUCUAUCUGGAGCCCACAGGCGUGCCCCUUUGAUGACACACUCUCUGUGCUGCACAGUCUGGCUGUUCACCAAACUGUUUGGAGCUUUCUGCUAUGUCCCGGGUAAGAGGGUCUAUUCACCCCAUGCUUGAAAGACUAGGAACCAAACAGAGUUCCACUCACCUGCAUCAACAUGGGGAAGGGUCCUCCUUGUCUGCAGGUGGCUAAGGAGGCUCAGAGCCAGGAGUUGGCUUGCGCAAGCCUGCCUGCCUUGGAACCCAGGGGUGUCUGAUGACAGAGUGUGGGCUCCUCCCAGCUCCAACCUGGCUUACUCCUCAGAGGAGAGGUGGGGUAUCCAGGGAGGGUGAAGGGGUGGGGUAUCCAGGGAAGCAUCCCCCUGUUGCCACCUGAGUUAGUCUUGGAGACCUUCAAACUCUGCUGUUUCAGGAACGGCUAAACUCACCUCAUAUUCUAAUGUGCCAGACAGACUCUCUCUCUUAAUCUUCAGGGCUAUCCUAUGAAGGACAAAUUGAGACAGUCCCAUUUUACAGAUGAAAAAAGAGAGGCUCAGAGGAAUGAAAUGGCUCCACGCCAAGAACAGGCAACUAACGAAGCCCGAGAGAGAGGACCCUGCCCCCACCACCAUGUGAGGACACAGCAAGAAGACCCCAUUUAUGAAUCAGAAAAUCCACUCUCACCGGACACCAAAUCUGUCAGUACCCAGGUCCUGGACUUGCCAGCCUCAGAACUGAACACAGAAGACCAGCAUUAUAGUUAAAAUAGACGUCGUAAGAUUGACAAAACAGACUCUUUGUGAUGAUAAGAUACCAAAUUACAUACAAGACCUAAGACUCCAGGUUUUGCAGACUCCAGGUUUUAAGCAGACCUUACUCCUUUAACCAACUGCAAAUUAAAGAAGCCCUGAAUCCAUCUGUAACCUGUCAGCCCGCCCCUCUUCAAGAUAUUCUGCCUUUUCAGGCCAAACCAAUGUAUGUCUUCCAUGUACUGAUUUAUGACUUUGCCUGUAACUCCUUCCUCCCUAAAAUGCAUCAAAUCAAUUUUUACUUUAAGUUCUGGGAUACAUGGGCAGAAUGUGCAGGUUUGUUACAUAGGUAUAUGUGUGCCAUGGUGGUUUGCUGCACCAUCGUCUAGGUUUUAAGCCCUGCAUGCAUUAGGUAUUUGUCCUAAUACUCUCCCUCCCUUAUCUCCCACACCCCCUCCCUUGACAGGCUCCGGUGUGUGAUGUUCCCCUCCCUGUGUCCAUGUGUUCUCAUUGUUCAACUCAUGAUCGCAUGAGUGAGAACAUGCGGUGUUUCGUUUUCUGUUCCUGUGUUACUUUGCUGAAAAUGAUAGCUUCCAGCUUCAUCCAUGUCCCUGCAAAAGACAUGAACUCAUUCUUUUUUAUGGCUGCAACAUCAAACCAAACUUAAUCUGGCCAACCUUGGGCACACCACGGUCACUGAAAUUGUCCCAGAAUAAACUUCUUUAAAAUAUUUUACAGAGUCCAGGUGUGGUGGCUCACGCCAAAAAUCCCAGCACUUUGGGAAGCUGAGGCAGGAGGAUCACUUGAGCCCAGAAGUUUGAGACCAGCCUGGGUAACCUAGGGAGACCCCAUCUCUACAAAAAAUUAAAAAAGUAGCUAGGUGUGGUGGCACACGCCUAUAGCCCCAACUACUCAAGAAACUGAGGUGGGAGGAUCACCUGAGCCCAGAAGGUUGAGGCUGCAGUGAGCCAUGAUUGUGCCACUGCACUCCAGAGUGAGAUCUUGA